rnacentral:rRNA from 1 species
AGGGUUUGAUUAUGGCUCAGAUUGAACGCUGGCGGCAUGCCUUACACAUGCAAGUCGAACGGCAGCGCGGGAGCUUGCUCCUGGCGGCGAGUGGCGCACGGGUGAGUAAUGCAUCGGAACGUGUCUUCUUGUGGGGGAUAACUGUCCGAAAGGACAGCUAAUACCGCAUAAGACCUGAGGGUGAAAGCAGGGGAUCGCAAGACCUUGCGCAGGAAGAGCGGCCGAUGUCCGAUUAGCUAGUUGGCGGGGUAAAGGCCCACCAAGGCGACGAUCGGUAGCUGGUCUGAGAGGACGACCAGCCACACUGGGACUGAGACACGGCCCAG